GUCCCUAUCGUCUAGAGGCCUAGGACACCGCCCUUUCACGGCGGUAACGGGGGUUCGAAUCCCCCUAGGGACG
rnacentral:tRNA from 1 species